rnacentral:rRNA from 1 species
AGAACGAACGCUGGCGGCACGCCUAACACAUGCAAGUCGAGCGCCCAGCAAUGGGAGCGGCGGACGGGUGAGGAACACGUGGGAAUAUGCCUUUCGGUUCGGCACAACUGCGGGAAACUGCAGCUAAUUCCGGAUACGCCCUUACGGGGAAAGAUUUAUCGCCGAAAGAUUAGCCCGCGUCUGAUUAGCUAGUUGGUGAGGUAAUGGCUCACCAAGGCUUCGAUCAGUAGCUGGUUUGAGAGAACGACCAGCCACACUGGGACUGAGACACGGCCCAGACUCCUACGGGAGGCAGCAGUGGGGAAUCUUGGACAAUGGAGGAAACUCUGAUCCAGCGAUGCCGCGUGAGUGAUGAAGGCCUUCGGGUUGUAAACUCUUUUACCAGGGAAGAUAAUGACUGUACCUGGAGAUAAGCUCCGGCUAACUUCGCGCCAGCAGCCGC